UACGGAGGGGGCUAGCGUUGUUCGGAAUUACUGGGCGUAAAGCGCACGUAGGCGGCUUUGUAAGUUAGAGGUGAAAGCCCGGAGCUCAACUCCGGAAUUGCCUUUAAGACUGCAUCGCUAGAAUUGUGGAGAGGUGAGUGGAAUUCCGAGUGUAGAGGUGAAAUUCGUAGAUAUUCGGAAGAACACCAGUGGCGAAGGCGACUCACUGGACACAUAUUGACGCUGAGGUGCGAAAGCGUGGGGAGCAAACAGGAUUAGAAACCCGUGUAGUCC
rnacentral:rRNA from 1 species